rnacentral:rRNA from 1 species
GAUGAACGCUAGCGGGAGGCCUAACACAUGCAAGCCGAGCGGUAGAGAUCUUUCGGGAUCUUGAGAGCGGCGUACGGGUGCGGAACACGUGUGCAACCUGCCUUUAUCUGGGGGAUAGCCUUUCGAAAGGAAGAUUAAUACCCCAUAAUAUACUGAAUGGCAUCAUUCGGUAUUGAAAACUCUGGUGGAUAGAGAUGGGCACGCGCAAGAUUAGAUAGUUGGUGAGGUAACGGCUCACCAAGUCUACGAUCUUUAGGGGGCCUGAGAGGGUGAUCCCCCACACUGGUACUGAGACACGGACCAGACUCCUACGGGAGGCAGCAGUGAGGAAUAUUGGACAAUGGGUGAGAGCCUGAUCCAGCCAUCCCGCGUGAAGGACGACGGCCCUAUGGGUUGUAAACUUCUUUUGUAUAGGGAUAAACCUACCCUCGUGAGGGUAGCUGAAGGUACUAUACGAAUAAGCACCGGCUAACUCCGUGCCAGCAGCCGCGGUAAUACGGAGGGUGCAAGCGUUAUCCGGAUUUAUUGGGUUUAAAGGGUCCGUAGGCGGAUCUGUAAGUCAGUGGUGAAAUCUCACAGCUUAACUGUGAAACUGCCAUU